ACUAUGUCCAAGCAGCAAUUUUAUUUUUGCAAUAUGUUCCAUUAUAUACUUUUCUGAAGUUAAUGUUGUUUACGCCAGAUCAACAUACUUAAUUACAGUUUUAUACACGAAUUCUGCAUUUUGCCAGAAGUUGAAGAUCUUUCUAAUACUCUGUACUCAAGAGGAAGGCAGAGCUUUCUAUGUGGAGUGACUGAAACAAUUUCGUCCAAAUGUUUGUUGCCACGGGCAAAAUAUCUAAAGAUUGUUCACUUGAAAAUUAUGACUCUUUUUCAGAAUUUUACAUCGUGUUAUUUGUUUUAUGGACUAUUCAGUAUGCAUUGCACCAACACUAAUUACUGCACUAAUAAGUCAGCGUGCUACCAAGAUGUUUUGCCAUUAUAAUUACAGCCACAUGUUGUUGUCCUUCCUCAAAUAGUCCAGGCUUAAUUGCAUCAUUUUUCAGGAGAAUUUAUGUGGUACAGCUUAAUUCAAAAUUACUACAUGAAUAAAUGAAGUGUAAACUAUUUUUUGUACUGACUCACAUACAGAAUAAAUGUUCUAG
ensembl:lncRNA